UUAUAUAAGUUAUCGUUUAUUUGAUAGCACAUUACUACAUGGAUAACUGUGGUAAUUCUAGAGCUAAUACAUGCUAAAAAUCCCGACUUCGGAAGGGAUGUAUUUAUUAGAUUAAAAGCCAACGCCCUUCGGGGCUUCCUGGUGAUUCAUAAUAACUUUUCGAAUCGCAUGGCCUUGCGCCGGCGAUGGUUCAUUCAAAUUUCUUCCCUAUCAACUUUCGAUGCGAAGGUAUUGUCUUCGCAUGGUUGCAACGGGUAACGGAGGGUUAGGGCUCGACCCCGGAGAAGGAGCCUGAGAAACGGCUACUACAUCCAAGGAAGGCAGCAGGCGCGCAAAUUACCCAAUCCCGACACGGGGAGGUAGUGACA
rnacentral:rRNA from 1 species